GGUGCUUGGGCCUCACCAACUCCUGGUACCUGGCCAGGGCUAGGGUGUGGUCAGGCUGUUGCCCAGGAGCCCAGUUACCAACCUCAGGGUACUUCACAGACAUGCUCCCUGCUCUUGGAAAUGUAGCGUUUAGUUAACUGCUUGAGGUGAGACCUUGGGCACAUGACUUACCCUCUCAGAGCCUCAGUUUCCUCGUCUGUACAGUGGAGGAGGUGUUUCAUAGAGAACUAAGGAGCAACUCCAUGAAGACCUGGGGCCUGCGGGCAGCCGGCUGGAUGGCCAUGUUCAUGGGCCUCAACCUUAUGACACGGAUCCUCUACACCUUGGCUCUUUUUUUAGGCUUCUGCCACCACAAAAUGUUACUUGGAAAACUAGAUCCCAGCAGAUGACCUGUACUUCUCUGUUCUCUCCCCUACUGCAAAGAGGCAGCGAGGGCAGCAUUAGUAAGCCUGACUCAGGGGAAGUAAGUAGCCUGCAGAGAAAGGGUCCUAGGUCCGCAACCGAGGCGAGUGAACUUGUCGGACAGAUGAAGACUCUAACUGGAAGAAACGAUCAGCGCAUUCAUGGAUGCACCACCAUCCAGAAAUCUCCCAGUGGCUUCCAUACAAAAACUGAUGUUUCUAAAGAUGGAAAGAACAGGUCUAGGAGGCAGGAGAGUAUCUCCUGGCAGUGUUCUGUAGCUCAAAGAGCAGUCAGGAGCACGUCUUUGAAUUCCUCGCAGACGAUGUAUCCAUCAGUCCUGUGGGGACACAACGUGAUGUCAACCCUCAAGCCUGCUGCCUGCUC
rnacentral:sRNA from 1 species